rnacentral:rRNA from 1 species
UACGUAGGGUGCAAGCGUUAAUCGGAAUUACUGGGCGUAAAGCGUGCGCAGGCGGUUAUGUAAGACAGUUGUGAAAUCCCCGGGCUCAACCUGGGAACUGCAUCUGUGACUGCAUAGCUAGAGUACGGUAGAGGGGGGAUGGAAUUCCGCGUGUAGCAGUGAAAUGCGUAGAUAUGCGGAGGAACACCGAUGGCGAAGGCAAUCCCCUGGACCUGUACUGACGCUCAUGCACGAAAGCGUGGGGAGCAAACAGG